CUGAGGGGGGCUGCUCCUAGUACGAGAGGACCGGAGUGGACGCAUCACUGGUGUUCGGGUUGUCAUGCCAAUGGCACUGCCCGGUAGCUAAAUGCGGAAGAGAUAAGUGCUGAAAGCAUCUAAGCACGAAACUUGCCCCGAGAUGAGUUCUCCCUGAGACUUUAAGUCUCCUGAAGGAACGUUGAAGACGACGACGUUGAUAGGCCGGGUGUGUAAGCGCAGCGAUGCGUUGAGCUAACCGGUACUAAUGAACCGUGAGGCUUAACCUUACAACGCCGAAG
rnacentral:rRNA from 1 species